rnacentral:rRNA from 1 species
UACGUAGGUGGCGAGCGUUAUCCGGAAUUACUGGGCGUAAAGCGCACGCAGGCGGUUUCUUAAGUUUGACGUGAAAACUCCUGGCUUAACUGGGAGAGGUCGUUGAAGACUGGGGAACUUGAGGCAAUGAGUGGGAUGUAGAAUUCACGGUGUAGUGGUGGAAUGCGUAGAUAUCGUGAGGAAUACCAGUGGCGAAAGCGACAUCCUGGCAUUAGCCUGACGCUCAUGUGCGAAAGCGUGGGGAGCGAACGGG